rnacentral:rRNA from 1 species
AACUUUCACACGGAUCUCUUGGCUCACGCAUCGAUGAAGAACGCAGCGAAAUGCGAUAAGUAAUGUGAAUUGCAGAAUUCAGUGAAUCAUCGAAUCUUUGAACGCACCUUGCGCUCUCUGGUAUUCCGGAGAGCAUGCCUGUUUGAGUGUCA